UCUAGAUGAUAGCUCAGUCAGUAGAGCACAAGACUCUUAAUUUGAGGGUUGUGGGUUUGAGCCCCUCAUUGGGCAGAG